rnacentral:rRNA from 1 species
UACGUAGGGGCUAGCGUUAUCCGGAAUUACUGGGCGUAAAGGGUGCGUAGGCGGUCUUUCAAGCCAGAAGUGAAUGGCUACGGCUCAACCGUAGUAAGCUUUUGGAACUGUAAGACUUGAGUGCAGGAGAGGAGAGUGGAAUUCCUAGUGUAGCGGUGAAAUGCGUAGAUAUUAGGAGGAACACCAGUAGCGAAGGCGGCUCUCCGGACUGUAACUGACGCUGAGGCACGAAAGCGUGGGGAGCAAACAGGAUUAGAUACCCCGGUAGUCCCUGAG